rnacentral:lncRNA from 1 species
UGCUCUGAGAUACAGGUGAGUCAUGAAUCUGUUUUUGUUAGGUACGCUACCUGACUUCAAUUAGGAAGGUGCAGGUUGAAUUUACUAAAAUAUACCUUCAUAUUCCAUAUGCUAAAAUGAGAUUCUGGAAUUAGUUUUAAAUGGUAUGCACAUGAUAAUACCAAGAACAUUCUUCUUAUGUGCUUACUACUAUAUACUGGAGCCAGCUUACAUCUUUGAAUUUUUCCAGCUUGUCAAGUUUUGUGAUGGUUUUCACAUUAGUCCAUUAUUACGGACUAAUAGUAACUUGGGGUGUUAGUAAUGAUUACUUUGACAUGUUCCUGUGUUGAAUAACAGUGAGAUCUCAUUACAAUCGGAAGUAUGUAGGAUGCCGGAGGCAAAACACUUGCCUCUAUAUGUAUCUGAUUGGUGAUUGGUUUUUUAUGUCGUCA